AUGUCUGGGAAACUGCCUGAUGGAGGGGGAUAACUACUGGAAACGGUAGCUAAUACCGCAUAAUGUCGCAAGACCAAAGAGGGGGACCUUCGGGCCUCUUGCCAUCGGAUGUGCCCAGAUGGGAUUAGCUUGUUGGUGGGGUAACGGCUCACCAAGGCGACGAUCCCUAGCUGGUCUGAGAGGAUGACCAGCCACACUGGAACUGAGACACGGUCCAGACUCCUACGGGAGGCAGCAUG
rnacentral:rRNA from 1 species